GACGAACGCUGGCGGCGUGCCUAAUACAUGCAAGUCGAGCGAAUUUAUGAGAGCUUGCUCUCGUAAAUUAGCGGCGGACGGGUGAGUAACACGUGGGCAACCUGCCUAUAAGACUGGGAUAACUUCGGGAAACCGGAGCUAAUACCGGAUAAUUCACAUCUACUCAUGUAGAUGUGCUGAAAGACGGUUUGCGCUGUCACUUAUAGAUGGGCCCGCGGCGCAUUAGCUAGUUGGUGAGGUAACGGCUCACCAAGGCCACGAUGCGUAGCCGACCUGAGAGGGUGAUCGGCCACACUGGGACUGAGACACGGCCCAGACUCCUACGGGAGGCAGCAGUAGGGAAUCUUCCGCAAUGGACGAAAGUCUGACGGAGCAACGCCGCGUGAGUGAUGAAGGUUUUCGGAUCGUAAAACUCUGUUGUUAGGAAGAACAAGUACCGGAGUAACUGCCGGUACCUUGACGGUACCUAACCAGAAAGCCACGGCUAACUACGU
rnacentral:rRNA from 1 species